CUGGGCAUGGUGGCGGGUGCCUGUAGUCUCAGCUACUCGGGAGGCCGAGGCAGGAGAAUGGCAUGAACCCGGGAGGCAGAGGUUGCAGUGAGCCGAGAUCUCGCCACUGCACUCCAGCCUGGGCGACAGUGCGAGACUCCGGCUCAAAACAAAAACAAAAACAAAACAAAACAAAACAAAAACAAAAAACAAAAAGCACAAAACCUUUCCCUAAUGUUAUUAACAAAUUAAAUUAACUGUAUUGGAAGGCUACUAGGUUUUUGAGCAAAUUGUUUUGUCAAAGAAGCCACGAGCCUUGUCUGCUAUUACAGAUGUUCAACCUUUAAAGAGAGUUCUGUGUCCCCAGUCUGCAGCGGUACAAAAUGGGCCAUGCAAGCUGCUCAGCCCCAGUGCUUUCUUGAUAUGUAGUCAUGGAGCAUAGUGUCCAAGAAACAACUUCCAGAGGACACAGACAAGAGCCACAGAGGACAAAGAACUUGAGAGUUCUUCCCAGAGCACAGAAUGAGUGGCUGCCCAUAGAGUUAUCUAAGGAACAUACUAUACUGCUGGAAAAGUGAAUCUUGACUCUUCCAACUGGCAGGAGCUGAUCAUUGGUGUAUAAAUGGCUGCUGUUUUGGGUUUUUUUUGUUGUUGUUGUUCUCCUCUUCUCAGAAUGAGAGUCCUAUUGCAGUUUUCUGGUUGAUAUUCCACCAUAGUAUUUUGGGGUUGCGUAUGACAGAAAAAACAAAAACAAACAAACAAAAAACUUAUUUUAACCCAGAGAUCAUCAGACAACAUGUCACAUUCAGGCUGAUGAAGAAGAAUGUGAAUCACUCAGAGAUUCUAGCCCUCAGUUAUCUAGAAUCUUGAUGAAGAAACCAUGGUUUUCUAUCUUUGAUAGGAAUGAGUGUGUUCUAUAUGGACAAGGAAGGGCAGGCCUAGAUAUUUGCAUCACAAAGGGGUAGACUGUAGUAAAGACUACUGGUUUUCUUUUCAUAUCUAUCAUAUCCUUUUCCUAUAAUAAGAUAACCACAAUUUUAGGCAAAGAAUACUAGCGAAGAACAAAAUUUCUGACUUCCCAUGCAGCUAAGUGUGGCCAUUCUGAAGUAUAGAUUUGAUGCUUUGAACUGAAGUGGCCACCUUGGACCAAAAAAUAACCCUGGGAAUGAAUGUUACAAACUGGAACAAAAAUCAUAGAAGGGGCUAUGUCCUUGAUACAGUGAUGCUAUUCCAAGUGCUGAACUGUCUAUUGUGGGCUUCCAUAUGAGAG
rnacentral:lncRNA from 1 species